GUGAGGAAUAUUGGUCAAUGGGCGGGAGCCUGAACCAGCCAAGUCGCGUGAAGGAAGAAGGAUCUAUGGUUCGUAAACUUCUUUUGCAGGGGAAUAAAGUGCGGGACGUGUCCUGUUUUGUAUGUACCCUGAGAAUAAGGAUCGGCUAACUCCGUGCCAGCAGCCGCGGUAAUACGGAGGAUCCGAGCGUUAUCCGGAUUUAUUGGGUUUAAAGGGUGCGUAGGUGGUUUGAUAAGUCAGCGGUGAAAGUUUGCAGCUUAACUGUAAAAAUGCCGUUGAAACUGUCGGACUUGAGUGUAAAUGAGGUAGGCGGAAUGCGUGGUGUAGCGGUGAAAUGCAUAGAUAUCACGCGGAACUCCGAUUGCGAAGGCAGCUUACUAAGCUACAACUGACACUGAAGCACGAAAGCGUGGGGAUCAAACAGGAUUAGAAACCCCGGUAGUCC
rnacentral:rRNA from 1 species